rnacentral:rRNA from 1 species
GGUUGUCGUCAGCUCGUGUCGUGAGAUGUUGGUUAAGUCCGCAACGAGCGCAACCCUUAUCUUUAAUUGCCAGCAUUCAGUUGGGCACUUUAAAGAGACUGCCGGUGGUUAAACCGGAGGAAGGUGGGGAUGACGUCAAGUCCUCAUGGCCUUUAUGCUUAGGGCUACACACGUGCUACAAUGGGUGGUACAAAGAGAAGCCAACUCGCGAGAGCGCGCCAAUCUCAAAAAGCCAUCCUCAGUUCGGAUUGGAGUCUGCAACUCGACUCCAUGAAGUUGGAAUCGCUAGUAAUCGCGGAUCAGCAUGCCGCGGUGAAUACGUUCCCGGGCCUU